UACGUAGGGUGCGAGCGUUAAUCGGAAUUACUGGGCGUAAAGCGUGCGCAGGCGGUGAGCUGUGUCCGAUGUGAAAGCCCCGGGCUUAACCUGGGAAUGGCAUUGGAAACUGGCUCGCUGGAGUGUGGCAGAGGGGGGUGGAAUUCCGCGUGUAGCAGUGAAAUUCGUAGAUAUUCGCAAGAACACCAGUGGCGAAGGCGGCCAACUGGUCCGGUACUGACGCUGAGGUGCGAAAGCGUGGGGAGCAAACAGGG
rnacentral:rRNA from 1 species